AACGAACGCUGGCGGCAUGCCUAACACAUGCAAGUCGAACGAGACCUUCGGGUCUAGUGGCGCACGGGUGCGUAACGCGUGGGAACCUGCCCUUAGGUUCGGCAUAACUCCCCGACAGGGGUGCUAAUACCGGAUAAUGUCUUCGGACCAAAGAUUUAUCGCCUUUGGAUGGGCCCGCGUUGGAUUAGCUAGUUGGUAGGGUAAAAGCCUACCAAGGCGACGAUCCAUAGCUGGUCUGAGAGGAUGAUCAGCCACACUGGGACUGAGACACGGCCCAGACUCCUACGGGAGGCAGCAGUGGGGAAUAUUGGAAAGUGGGCGAAAGCCUGAACCAGCAAUGCCGCGUGAGUGAUGAAGGCCUUAGGGUUGUAAAGCUCUUUUAACCGGGAUGAUAAUGACGGUACCGGGAGAAUAAGCUCCGGCUAACUCCGUG
rnacentral:rRNA from 1 species